ACAAAAUGAGUCACCAGGAAACCAUGUGUUCUUUCAUCUCCUCACAGUUCUGUGUUUGAUUUUUGUUUCUCUGAGAAUGGCUAUUUAUAUGAUGGUAGUACCUAGAGGCCCUGAUCCAAAGUGAAGCCCGCAUUGCUAGGCUGUGUGCAAAUACAUGGUGAGAGACAGGCUCUGCCCUUAAAAGUCAGUGAUCAAAGAGACCCUGACAACAAAAGAUAGGACAGGAAAUGGAUAUGAUGUGACUGUCCAAAAAUUAUGUCAUAGUUCAAUCACUUGCAUACUAAAGUAUCACUUACUUUUCAUCUUUUGCCUCCCACCAGUCAAGAAUUAGUUAGAAGGUAAAACAAAACUCCAGAGGGAAGAAUUCAACUUCAGUGUACAACUCUGGUCUUCGCUUACUACUCCUUGUUUGCGGCCUUGAGGUGGAUGAGAAAAAGAGGGAUCUUGGUUCUGUUUUCUACAGAUGUCCUCACCACAGUGGGUAUGAAUGUCCAGGAAAGCAGGAGGU
rnacentral:lncRNA from 1 species